rnacentral:ribozyme from 13 species
AUGAAGGAGUAGAAGUUUGGGAGGAAGGAGAAGAGACGGAAGGUGUUGAUGAGAAUUCAAUUUUGAGUUUGUCGUUUUCAAGUUUUCUUUCUUUCUUCUUUCUUCUUCUUCUUU